AGAGUUUGAUCCUGGCUCAGAACGAACGCUGGCGGCAGGCCUCAAACAUGCAAGUCUAGGGGACGUAACAAUACGUCACCGGCGGACGGGUGCGUAACACGUGGGAAUGUACUUACUGGUUCGGAACAACUGCGGGAAACUGCAGCUAAUACCGAAUGAGCCCGAAAGGGGAAAGAUUUAUCGCCAGUAAAUCAGCCCGCGUUCGAUUAGCUAGUUGGUGAGGUAAUGGCUCACCAAGGCUCCGAUCGAUAGCUGUUUUGAGAGGAAGAUCAGCCACACUGGGACUGAGACACGGCCCAGACUCCUACGGGAGGCAGCAGUUGGGAAUCUUGGACAAUGGGGGAAACCCUGAUCCAGCCAUGCCGCGUGAGUGAUGAAGGCCUUCGGGUUGUAAAGCUCUUUUACCCGGGAAGAUAAUGACUGUACCGGGAGAAUAAGCUCCGGCUAACUUCGUGCCAGCAGCCGCGGUAAUACGAAGGGGGCUAGCGUUGUUCGGAAUUACUGGGCGUAAAGCGCGCGCAGGCGGCUUCUCAAGUCAGUGGUGAAAGCCCGGAGCUCAACUCCGGAACUGCCAUUGAAACUGUGGAGCUUGGGGACGAGAGAGGUGAGUGGAAUUCCCAGUGUAGAGGUGAAAUUCGUAGAUAUUGGGAAGAACACCGGUGGCGAAGGCGGCUCACUGGCUCGUUUCUGACGCUCAGGCGCGACAGCGUGGGGAUCAAACAGGAUUAGAUACCCUAGUAGUCC
rnacentral:rRNA from 1 species